UGAAGUAUCACAAGAAUAGAAAAACAAACACCACAUGUACUCCCCAUCGCUUGGAAAUAAUCAAUCAACACGUAUGUGCACAUGUGGAAAUAACGUUCAUCGGAAAUCAAGCAGGUUGUGGGGGAGGAGGGGAUGGGUAAAUUCAUACCUAACGGCUACAAUGCCCACUAUCUGGGGGAUGGGCACACUUGUACCUUUGACUCAAACAGCACAAAGGUAAUUUAUGCAACCAAAACGUUUGUACCUCCGUAAUAUUCUGAAAUAAAAAAAUAGAUAAGUAUAUAUAAAAAGUUUUUUUUAAGUCACCUAUAUAUUUCUCUACUGUAGGUGGCACCAGAGGACAUAAAACAUCCGAUUCCGAUUGGCUGUUUGAAGUCAUGGUCUGUUCCUGUUUCACAUUUAACCUCCUCCCGCAGGAGGGCUCACUUGAAAAACGAUAUUGAAAUGCUGCAAAACAUAGGAAGAAUGCAAAUGGACUAAGACAACUGGCCAACAUGAGGUCAAAGUUUGAGUGCCAACAGUACACACUACUUGCUACACGAUCCUGAACAGCUGCUUAAUCUCUCAGUGAUGCCCUUGUCCUCUGUUUCAAAUGGGGUCACUACAAAAAGCUCCCCAGGAUGUUUAAAGGAUUAGCAAUUGCAAGACCACUUAUGCAGCUAAGAAAUUGUGAAAUUGGCUUUGCCACCCUUGAAUCCUUGCCCUGAUCAGAACAGAACUAGUGUCAGAUUGAGGAGACAGGACAACAGGAUCGCGGUAAGGAGCCUGUGGAUGUGCUUUUGCCGAAGAACAAUGCUCAGGGCUAGAAGGAGGAGCCCAGUGUGCAGGCCCCAGCUCUCCAGGGGCUGGAAGACCUCUGUCAAAAUGCACUAGAAAUACCCACCUGUUGCAGAGACUGAAGAGGCAAGAGGCGGCCUGUGGAUUGGGGCUUUUCCUAUCCCAAAAAUCCCACAGGGGAUCCCAGUGAGCCCCUCCUGGCCCUCAUUCUAGAGGGAAGGAAGUAGCAUUCGCCACCCCAGAGGCCAUGGAGGCCGACUGCAGCUGUAUGUCCCACAUGAGUGAGACUUGCCUGCUUUUCCCGCUGCCUCUCCGCUCCCCACCCCUCUACCCUCCAAGGGUCCCAAACAGCAGGGACUCAAAGCAGAAGAGGUGGGAGAAGGGAAAGACCAGAAGCUGACAAUUUGUUUGUCCCUACUGCUGAUUUCUCAGUCUGACGUGGGACUGACUGGGAUGAGAAAAAUUUAGGUUUGACAAGGGUCUGGGGUUGGUUUAUCAGAAUGUCUGGACUUCUGAUGACUUGGUGUGACCAGGAGAGAGGAUAUUUCCUGAACAUGGCCAGGGAAUACUAAUCAUUCCUGCGUAAUAUUUUGGUCAGUUACCGGGGAAUACCGUGCGUCCCUGUUGGAGCAGUGACACAGGGGGCAGAUGAGGGGAAUCAAGUUGCUUUCGUUGGUCCCAGAGAAGAUUCCUCACUUCCACCUCACUGUGUCCCUGGUACCCAAGGGCCAGAUCCCUUCAGUGAACAGGGUCAUGGGCAGUGAAGGGACCUCGGCCUGCCCAGCACUGGCUGUAGAGGGGAGAGGCCCCAGGGGCUGGGUGGGAAAAAAGAGAAGGAGGAGGGUCUCACUGCAUUUACACUGGCCCAGAAUCCUGGUCCGUCACUCUCAACACCAGUUCUGCUCACUGAAGCCUUGUGCAUUCCUGUCUGUCAUGGAGAGCCCUAGUCCUGGCCCAACUGGUACCUUGCCGUCUCCUCUCUCACUGGCCUGAAUAGUUAGUGGUCAAAGCCUUUCACUUUCCUAUUCCCAGAAACUCCUGCCUUAUCGCAAUAGAAGAAAACAUAAUCUGAUUUCACUUUUCUCAUCAAUA